rnacentral:rRNA from 1 species
GAUCAUUAUUGAAUAACUUGAUGUGGUUGUAGCUGACUCUUUCGGGAGUAUGUGCUCGCCCGUCAUCUUUAUCUUUCCACCUGUGCACUUUUUGUAGAUUUGGAUGUAACUUUCCGAGGCAACUCGGUUGGGAGGAAUGUCUUCUUGGCUUUCCUUGUAUGUCCAAGUCUAUGUUUUCAUAUACUCCAAAAAUGUUAUAGAAUGUAUCACCUAGGCCUUGUGCCUAUAAAACUAUAUACAACUUUCAGCAACGGAUCUCUUGGCUCUCGCAUCGAUGAAGAACGCAGCGAAAUGCGAUAAGUAAUGUGAAUUGCAGAAUUCAGUGAAUCAUCGAAUCUUUGAACGCACCUUGCGCCCCUUGGUAUUCCGAGGGGCAUGCCUGUUUGAGUGUCAUUAAAUUCUCAACCUUACUAGCUUUUGCGAGCUUUGUAAUGGCUUGGAUGUGGGGGUCUUUUGCUGGUUUCGAAAGAAAUCUGCUCCCCUCAAAUGUAUUAGCCGGUACCCCGCGUGGAUCGUCUAUUGGUGUGAUAAUUAUCUACGCCGUUAGAUGUCUGCUUUAAAUGGGAUGUGCUGCUUCUAAUCGUCCUUCAGGACAAUUAUUGACCAUUUGACCUCAAAUCAAGUAGGACUACCCGCUGAACUUA